rnacentral:rRNA from 1 species
GAUGAACGCUGGCGGCGUGCUUAAUACAUGCAAGUCGAACGGAAAGGCCAUGAUUUUGUGGGUCGCUCGAGUGGCGAACGGGUGAGUAACACGUGAGUAACCUGUCCUUGACAUUCUGGUAACUUCAGGAAAAUGGGGCUCUUACCGGAUAGGAGAUCUUGCUGCACGGUGGGGGUUGGAAAGUUUCGGCGGUUGGGGAUGGAUUCGAGGCUUAUCAGCUUGUUAGUGGAGGAGUGGCUUACCAAGGCUGUGACGGCUAGGCGACCUGAGAGGGUGGCCGGCGACAUGGGGACUGAGAUACGGCGCAGUCGCGUACGGGAGGCAGCAGUGGAGAAUAUGGCACAGUGGGCGGAAGCCUGAGGCAGCAACGCCGCGUGCGGGAUGACGGGCUUUGGGGUGUAAACCGCUUUCUCCUGUGACAAAGCGUGAGUGACGGUAAUGGGUAAAAAAGCACCGGCUAACUACGUG